rnacentral:tRNA from 1 species
GGCGUGUGGCUCAGCUUGGUAGAGCGCUACGUUCGGGACGUAGAGGCCGCAGGUUCGAAUCCUGUCACGCCGA